rnacentral:rRNA from 1 species
UCCCGUUGAUCCUGCGGGAGAUUGCUGCUAUUAGGAUUCGAUUAAGCCAUGCAAGUCAGGUAGUAAUACCGGCGGAUUGCUCAGUAACACGUCGAUAAUCUGCCCUUAGGUCUGGAAUAACCUCGGGAAACUGAGGGUAACACCGGAUAUGGAAUUCUUUCUGGAACGAAUAAUUCUUGAAAAGUAAUGCCUAAGGAUGAGUCGGCGGCCGAUUAGGCUGUUGGCGGGGUAAUGGCCCACCAAACCGAAGAUCGGUAGAGGCCUUGAGAGAGGUAGCCUCGAGAAGGGCACUGAAAUACUGGCCCUAGCCCUACGGGGUGCAGCAGGCGCGAAACCUUUACAAUGCACGAAAGUGUGAUAAGGGGAUCCUAAGUGCUUACGCUAUGCGUAGGCUUUUGCCAAGAGUAAAUAUCUUGGCGAAUAAGUGGUGGGCAAGACUGGUGCCAGCCGCCGCGGUAACACCAGCUCCACAAGUGGCAAUCGUAGUUAUUGGGCCUAAAGCGUCCGUAGCCUGUUUGAAAAAUCUCUUGUGAAAUCGUUGCGCUUAACGUAACGGCGUGCAGGAGACACUUUCAGACUUGGAACCGGGAGGAGUCAGAGGUAUGCAAGGGGUAGCGGUAAAAUGUUAUAAUCCUUUGUAGACCACCUGUGGCGAAGGCGUCUGACCAGAACGGAUUCGACGGUGAGGGACGAAAGCCAGGGGAGCGAUCCGGAUUAGAUACCCGAGUAGUCCUGGCUGUAAACGCUGCGAGCUAGGUGUUGCACAUUCUUCGGGAAUGUGCAGUGUCGAAGCGAAGGCAUUAAGCUCGCCGCCUGGGGAGUACGGUCGCAAGACUGAAACUUAAAGGAAUUGGCGGGGGAGCACUACAAGGGGUGCGGCGUGCGGUUUAAUCUAAUUCAACGCAGAGAAUCUCACCAGAGGCGACGGCAGGAUGAUGGUCAGCUUAACGAGUUUACCAGACGAGCCGAGAGGUAGUGCAUGGCCGCCGCCAGCUCGUGCCGUAAGGUGUCCUGUUAAGUCAGGCAACGAGCGAGACCUGCACUCACAAUUGCUAGCGACUCAUCCGAGGAUCGAGCACAUUGUGGGAACUGCCCGUGAAAACGGGAGGAAGGUGCAGGCAACGGUAGGUCUGUAUGCUCCGAAUCCUCUGGGCUACACGCGCGCAACAAUGGUAGGGACAAUGGGAUACAACUCCGAAAGGAGAAGUUAAACCUCUAAACCCUAUCUAAGUCCAGAUUGAGGGCUGUAACUCGCCCUCAUGACGUCGGAAUCCCUAGUAAUCGUACGUCAACAUCGUACGGUGAAUACGUCCCUGCUCCUUGCACACACCGCCCGUCAAACCACUCGAGCAGAGUUUAGAUGAGCAUUAGUUCCUUUGAUUACUGCGAAUCUAAGCUCAGUGAGAUGGGUUAAGUCGUCACAAGGUA